rnacentral:rRNA from 1 species
CCUACGGGUGGCUGCAGUGAGGAAUAUUGGUCAAUGGACGAGAGUCUGAACCAGCCAAGUAGCGUGAAGGAUGACUGCCCUAUGGGUUGUAAACUUCUUUUAUAGGGGAAUAAAAUGUUCCACGUGUGGGAUUUGGUAUGUACCAUAUGAAUAAGGAUCGGCUCACUCCGUGCCAGGAGCCGCGGUAAUACGGAGGAUCCGAGCGUUAUCCGGGUUUAUUGGGUUUAAAGGGAGCGUAGGGGGCUUGUUAAGUCAGUGGUGAAAGUUUGCGGCUCAACCGGAAAAUUGCAGUUGAAACUGGCAGUCUUGAGUACAGUAGCGGUGGGCGGACUUCGUGGUGUAGCGGU